CAUGGGAAAUUCUUUGGCCUUGUUUUGGCAAUGCUUUAAGAUACUGUUUAGAGCUCUCCAUUUUGAAAAAUAUUUAAUAUUAUGGACUUGUUUGGCAAACUAUACGAAUUAACUGUUUUUUACAAUGUUCUUGUCUUUGCUUCAAAAUGAUUUUUGGUUGUUUUUGCUUUUGUUCAAAGAGACAAAUGCAAAAAGAUGAAUGUGGAAACCAUCAUCUGACAUAUAUUCUAUAAAUGUUUCUUCUCCACUUAAAAAUGCUAAAACGGUUCUUGUUUUUGGUUCUGAAAAAUCAUUUGCUAAAGAGAAAUUUCCAAGUCCACCUUUUGGUAAAGCACUAUCUUCUUGGUUUGUCAUGGGCUUGUUGAGAAAGUAGAUCAAAGUAAAAGCAUUUGGUUUAGAAAACCUUUUGUGGAGUCUCAGCAAAAAUGCGGUGAAGGGUAGAUUGUGGUAGAUGCUUGGCCAAUUGAUUAUACUCUGUAGUGCAGAUGAUAAAAAUGGUCACUUUACCCCUUUCACUUAAUUUCCAUGUAUAGAAUGGUCCCUUUUUCUUUAAUAGUGCCACUUGGGCAUCCUUUGACUUAGAUGCCCCUGGACUUGCUUUGUAACUGGGGUAAGUUUUGCAAUGCUCCAUGUAUGAUGAGUUGUGAAAACAUUGGAAAUGGGAAUAUUAAAGGCUUUAUGAGCAUGUUUAUUGUAAUCCUAAGGCAUGUUACUAAUCCGGGGCUAUUAAGAUGUGGCAGCGUUUCAGUGUGCCAUCUCUAAAUAUGGAGCACAUAUUUCAUAAAUCCAAUUCAACUUCUUGUCUGAACUUACUGGUGAAUUAGUUUCUAGCUGAUCUUGAUGUCAUAGAAGGGUAUUAACUUAUUCUUUGGCCUUGCUAUAUGUUGUAGCUGAGUUGUUUGUGAAUGGAGAGAUUGUUCAAAGAUCACCUGAGAGGCAGAGGAGAGUGGAGCCGC
rnacentral:lncRNA from 1 species